GGAGAACUGUGGCUCAGUGACAGAGCACCUGCUUUGCAUGCAGAAGGUCUCAUGUUUGAUCCUUGGCAUCUCCA